rnacentral:tRNA from 1 species
GACGCUAUCGUCUAACGGUAAGGACGCUGUUUUAAGAAUGCGAAAAAAAUAUUGAAAUGGGGAGAAAACAAUUUCGUAUUCAUCUAAAGAACGGAAAUUCAGGUUCAAAUCCUGAUAGCGUUG